UGUGGCUCUUUACCACUGACCUAAUAGCUCACUGGAGGUUAUUCAAAAGUGUAUGAAAAUGGAAAAAGAUGGGCGAUUAAAAAAAAUAAUCUGAUUUGAAUAUGGUUUCUGCAGGAGAAACAUGACAAAUAUUCUUAAAUGUUUUCCAUUGCUGUAAAAAUGUUGGGAUAUAUUUCAACAUUUCUGUCAAUGAAGAUUUGCAUCAUAACCUAUGACAGCUGUUUCUCUGAGCUCUGCAUGUGGAAAAACCCGAGAAGGGACGUGAAGUCGGAAGUUGAGAGAAACAUCAUGCCACCAUCACCAGCCACAUCUUCAAAUGUAAAUGAAAACAGCUGCCAAUGAAGGUACCGAGCAAGCACUCAGACCCAGGGAGGACGACAUGCCUCAUGUUGGAAACACUGACUGGUGUGCAUGUACCCAUAGAAACAACAGAAGAAAGUUGUGGUUGCCAUGAGAGUCAACAUAUUCAACAGAAAAUGGCAGAUUAUCCAGAUUAUCUGAUGCAGUGCACUUGGGAUUUAUUGCCAGAUGUCUGAAUUGAUGAGUACUUGAGGUUGCAGAUAUCCAAUUCAGACAAUA